AGCGGCAGGCCUAAUACAUGCAAGUCGAGGGGCAGCACGGUUUUCGGACUGGUGGCGACCGGCGCACGGGUGCGUAACGCGUAUGCAACCUACCCUUUACAGGGGGAUAGCCCGGGGAAACCCGAAUUAAUACCCCAUAGUACUAUAGAUUGGCAUCAUGAAAUAGUUAAAGAUUUAUUGGUAAAGGAUGGGCAUGCGUACCAUUAGUUAGUUGGUGGGGUAACGGCCUACCAAGACGAUGAUGGUUAGGGGGCCUGAGAGGGUGAUCCCCCACACUGGUACUGAGAUACGGACCAGACUCCUACGGGAGGCAGCAGUAGGGAAUAUUGGUCAAUGGGCGAGAGCCUGAACCAGCCAUGCCGCGUGCAGGAAGACGGCCUUCUGGGUUGUAAACUGCUUUUGACAGGGAAGAAAUAGUCCAUGCGUGGACAGUUGACGGUACCUGUAGAAUAAGCACCGGCUAACUCCGUGCCAGCAGCCGCGGUAAUACGGAGGGUGCAAGCGUUGUCCGGAUUUAUUGGGUUUAAAGGGUGCGUAGGUGGCUUUAUAAGUCAGUGGUGAAAUUCUGCAGCUUAACUGUAGGACUGCCAUUGAUACUGUAUGGCUUGAGUGUCGUUGAGGCAGGCGGAAUUUAUGGUGUAGCGGUGAAAUGCAUAGAUACCAUAAAGAACACCGAUAGCGAAGGCAGCUUGCUUAGCGGCAACUGACACUGAUGCACGAAAGCGUGGGUAGCGAACAGGAUUAGAUACCCUGGUAGUCCACGCCGUAAACGAUGAUUACU
rnacentral:rRNA from 1 species